AUUGAACGCUGGCGGCAGGCCUAACACAUGCAAGUCGAACGGUAACAGGAAGAAGCUUGCUUCUUUGCUGACGAGUGGCGGACGGGUGAGUAAUGUCUGGGAAACUGCCUGAUGGAGGGGGAUAACUACUGGAAACGGUAGCUAAUACCGCAUAACGUCGCAAGACCAAAGAGGGGGGACCUUCGGGCCUCUUGCCAUCGGAUGUGCCCAGAUGGGAUUAGCUAGUAGGUGGGGUAACGGCUCACCUAGGCGACGAUCCCUAGCUGGUCUGAGAGGAUGACCAGCCACACUGGAACUGAGACACGGUCCAGACCCCUACGGGAGGCAGCAGUGGGGAAUAUUGCACAAUGGGCGCAAGCCUGAUGCAGCCAUGCCGCGUGAUGAAGAAGGCCUUCGGGUUGUAAAGUACUUUCAGCGGGGAGGAAGGGAGUAAAGUUAAGUAACCUUUGCUCAUUG
rnacentral:rRNA from 1 species